UACGGAGGGGGCUAGCGUUGCUCGGAAUCACUGGGCGUAAAGCGCACGUAGGCGGAUCUUUAAGUCAGGGGUGAAAUCCUGGAGCUCAACUCCAGAACUGCCUUUGAUACUGGGGAUCUCGAGUCCGGGAGAGGUGAGUGGAACUGCGAGUGUAGAGGUGAAAUUCGUAGAUAUUCGCAAGAACACCAGUGGCGAAGGCGGCUCACUGGCCCGGUACUGACGCUGAGGUGCGAAAGCGUGGGGAGCAAACAGG
rnacentral:rRNA from 1 species